GGUUACAUCAUGUUGAAACACCACUUCUCGUAUAUGAUCCCUGAAGUUAAGCAACGUCGAGCCUGGUAAGUAGCUAGAUGGGUGACCGCUUGGGAAUAUCAAGUGCGGUAA